GCCUAUGGACUAUCAGCUCAGUUGAUUAGAGCGUGGUGCUGAUAAUGCCAAGGUUGCAAGUUUGAUCAUUGUUUGGGAUA